rnacentral:rRNA from 1 species
AUUGAACGCUGGCGGCAGGCCUAACACAUGCAAGUCGAGCGGAUGAAGGGAGCUUGCUCCUGGAUUCAGCGUCGGACGGGUGAGUAAUGCCUAGGAAUCUGCCUGGUAGUGGGGGAUAACGUCCGGAAACGGGCGCUAAUACCGCAUACGUCCUGAGGGAGAAAGUGGGGGAUCUUCGGACCUCACGCUAUCAGAUGAGCCUAGGUCGGAUUAGCUAGUUGGUGGGGUAAAGGCCUACCAAGGCGACGAUCCGUAACUGGUCUGAGAGGAUGAUCAGUCACACUGGAACUGAGACACGGUCCAGACUCCUACGGGAGGCAGCAGUGGGGAAUAUUGGACAAUGGGCGAAAGCCUGAUCCAGCCAUGCCGAGUGUGUGAAGAAGGUCUUCGGAUUGUAAAGCACUUUAAGUUGGGAGGAAGGGAAGUAAGUUAAUACCUUGCUGUUUUGACGUUACCAACAGAAUAAGCACCGGCUAACUUCGUG